GACGAACGCUGGCGGCAUGCUUAACACAUGCAAGUCGAACGGAAAGACCCUGCUUUUGUGGUGUGCUCGAGUGCCGAACGCGUGAGUAACACGUGAGUAACCUGCCCUACACUUUGGGAUAACUUCACGAAACUGAGCCUAAUACCGUAUAGCAUCCCCUCCUCCAUUGUAGGCGUUGGAAAUUCUCGGCUGUUGGGGAUGGACUCGCGGUUUAUGAGCUUGCUGGUUGGCGAGGGGCUUACCAAGGGAUUGACGGAUCGCCGGCCUGGGAGGGUGACCGGCCACAAGGGUACUGAGAGACGGACCAGACGCCUACGGUAGACAGUGGUGGGGAAUAUUGUACAAUGGGAGGACGCCUGAGGCGGAAGCGCCGCGUUCGUGAAGACGGCCUUCGGGUUGAGAACAGCUGUAGGUUAUGACGAAGCGUGAGUGACGGUAAUGGGUAAAGAAGCACCGGCUAACUACGUG
rnacentral:rRNA from 1 species